CUUUAAUUAACUUAAUUUCUAAAGUAUUUGACUCUUGAUCAUAAGAAGGUGGAGAAUAACCAUCAUUAAAGA
rnacentral:tRNA from 1 species